rnacentral:rRNA from 1 species
UACGUAGGGUGCGAGCGUUGUCCGGAAUUAUUGGGCGUAAAGGGCUCGUAGGCGGUUUGUCGCGUCGGGAGUGAAAUCCACUGGCUUAACUGGUGGCUUGCUUUCGAUACGGGCAGACUGGAGGUAUGCAGGGGAGAACGGGAUUCCUGGUGUAGCGGUGAAAUGCGCAGAUAUCAGGAGGAACACCGGUGGCGAAGGCGGAUCUCUGGGCCAUUACUGACGCUGAGGAGCGAAAGCGUGGGGAGCGAACAGG